rnacentral:rRNA from 1 species
ACGGAAGGCAGCAGUGGGGAAUAUUGGACAAUGGGGGAAACCCUAAUCCAGCGACGCCGCGUGAGUGAAGAAGUAUUUCGGUAUGUAAAGCUCUAUCAGCAAGGAAGAAAAUGACGGUACUUGACUAAGAAGCUCCGGCUAAAUACGUGCCAGCAGCCGCGGUAAUACGUAUGGAGCAAGCGUUAUCCGGAUUUACUGGGUGUAAAGGGAGCGUAGACGGCAAAGCAAGUCUGAAGUGAAAUCCCGGGGCUCAACCCCGGAACUGCUUUGGAAACUGUUUAGCUAGAGUGCAGGAGAGGUAAGCGGAAUUCCUAGUGUAGCGGUGAAAUGCGUAGAUAUUAGGAGGAACACCAGUGGCGAAGGCGGCUUACUGGACUGUAACUGACGUUGAGGCUCGAAAGCGUGGGGAGCAAACAGGAUUAGAUACCCUGGUA